GACGAACGCUGGCGGCGUGCUUAACACAUGCAAGUCGAACGAAGAGCGAUGGAAGCUUGCUUCUAUCAAUCUUAGUGGCGAACGGGUGAGUAACGCGUAAUCAACCUGCCCUUCAGAGGGGGACAACAGUUGGAAACGACUGCUAAUACCGCAUACGAUCUGACCUCGGCAUCGAGGAUAGAUGAAAGGUGGCCUCUACAUGUAAGCUAUCACUGAAGGAGGGGAUUGCGUCUGAUUAGCUAGUUGGAGGGGUAACGGCCCACCAAGGCGAUGAUCAGUAGCCGGUCUGAGAGGAUGAACGGCCACAUUGGGACUGAGACACGGCCCAGACUCCUACGGGAGGCAGCAGUGGGGAAUCUUCCGCAAUGGACGAAAGUCUGACGGAGCAACGCCGCGGGAGUGAUGACGGCCUUCGGGUUGUAAAGCUCUGUUAAUCGGGACGAAAGGCCUUUUUGCGAAUAGUGAGAAGGAUUGACGGUACCGGAAUAGAAAGCCACGGCUAACUACGUG
rnacentral:rRNA from 1 species